rnacentral:tRNA from 1 species
GGGGCUGUAGCUCAGCUGGGAGAGCGCUUGCAUGGCAUGCAAGAGGUCGUCGGUUCGAUCCCGUCCAGCUCCA